rnacentral:rRNA from 1 species
AACGAACGCUGGCGGCAGGCUUAACACAUGCAAGUCGAACGCCCCGCAAGGGGAGUGGCAGACGGGUGAGUAACGCGUGGGAAUCUACCUAGUUCUACGGAACAACACAGGGAAACUAGUGCUAAUACCGUAUCCGCCCUACGGGGGAAAGAUUUAUCGGAAUUAGAUGAGCCCGCGUAAGAUUAGCUAGUUGGUGGGGUAAUGGCCUACCAAGGCGACGAUCUUUAGCUGGUCUGAGAGGAUGAUCAGCCACACUGGGACUGAGACACGGCCCAGACUCCUACGGGAGGCAGCAGUGGGGAAUAUUGGACAAUGGGCGAAAGCCUGAUCCAGCCAUGCCGCGUGAGUGAUGAAGGCCUUAGGGUUGUAAAGCUCUUUCAGUAGGGAAGAUAAUGACGGUACCUACAGAAGAAGCCCCGGCUAACUUCGUGCCAGCCGCCGCCGUAA